ensembl:lncRNA
GAAGACAUCAGCCUGAGUAAUAUUGAAAGUCAAGAGGUGGACUUGAGAAAAAUAAGGAAGUAGUUCCUAGAGGUCCACUGCUGAGAACUCCUUGGGGACCACAGAACUAAGCCCCCCUUACGCUUGUAUUGUAUUUCUUCACCUGUUCAGUUAACUCAUGAGUGGAAACUCCAUUGCAGGAAGGCAGGCAAAACGAGUCUAUGCCUCUCAAGAGAUUGAAAUGAAUGAAACUUGCAGUUACCAGUCCUUACAGCAGUGCUAAGGACAUUUGUAAACUCAGGCUGGUAUUUUUAAUGCCCCAAUUAAAACUUAUCAUGUUUCUUCUCUCAAAUUAGUUCUAAUUGUUAUGUGGAACUGAUUUAUUGAGAUUUUAGAAAAUCUUGGCACUAAGCUAAGUGUUUUUGCAGAAAUCAUUCUUGCCUUCAUUUAUUCGUCUGCAAACUUGAUUGCCUCCAAUACUGUAGACAUUAUAAAUGAUUUCAAGGAUGCCAGGAGUGGCCAGGUGUUUUUUCCUUGAUGUUUUUGCUCCUGUUGCUCUUCUAUGAGGACCAUUUAUCUUCUCUCUCAGAUAAGCACAUGCAUCCUUGUCUUUCAAGAUUCAGUUCAAACAUCACUAUGUGAUGAUGUGAUUGGAUCUUUCUAAUGUACUAUAACUACAUAAGGGCAAUAUCCUUGUCUGAUUUACUUUCUAUUCCCAACACUUAAGUGAUCUGAAGCCAAGUUACUGUAAAGAAAUAUGCUUGAAUGACAUAUGAGAUGAAUAUAUAAAUGAUAAGAGAGGUAGCUGCUGUGUAGGUGGUUUAUUACUAGCAUGGAGAGCAAAUGAUUCCAUCCUACUAUGGUGUGAGCACAAACUGGUAAGAAGGAACAAAGAAAUAAGAACAAAUUCAUGGAAUGCAGUGCAAGGGGCACGUGCCUCAAAUAGAGGGGUGGGAGAAAACGUCCCAGGUGAUGUUAUUUUGGCCUUGAGGUGUGAUAGAAAAUCAGCAGUUAACUGGGGAAAUGGGAAUGAAAGAAUACUGAGCAGAGGAAUAGCUUUUAAAGGUAUUCCUUGCUAACGUAUUGGGUACUCUGGGACUUCUGUGACUCUAAGUCUGUUUUGGUUUUUUGGUUUGGUUGUUUUUUCAUGUUAUUGCUUUACCUUACCUCCAAAUCAGAUAUCCUUAGGUUAAAUGAAAAAUAGCUACCUUCAUUGAGAGAGAGCCUCGACUAUAUACCGCAUAGAACAUAUGCAUAUAGAGAUUACAUAGAUAAAUAACCGACAGAUGGAAGAUGAUUAAAUAAACAGAUAUGCAAAUGAUAGUUCAGAUAGAUAGACACGUACAUACAUUCUAGAUUCAUAGAAAGACAAUUCAUUUUAAUUCGUGGGCCAAUUUACAUUUAGUUGUCAUAGGCUCAGAAAGGAUGAGGUCUUUGACCAGACUCCUGCAGUUGGUAAUGUGAUUUCCCUGAAGGUUUAUGUCUUUGUAUUAUUUACGACGAAUCUUGGAAACAGAUGUACUUAUAUAUGUAGAACACAUUUUAAAAUCCAAAUCGAAUUCAUACUCUGAAAAAUACAUUUUAUUAAAAUCUGCCAAAUGUGACAGCUUAUAAAAAUAAAUAACUUUAUUUCAGCUUCAACCAUCCUUUACCUGUAUCAUUAAAAACCAUGAGGUUGUAUUAUAAUAUUUCUUAGAUAUUACAAUAAACUUUCAAAUUACUUGUUAUUGAGGCUCAAAGAGUAAAUAUUUGCUAACAUCCAGCUGUACAGAAGUCAUGUAAAUGCCACACAGCUUCUUUAACCUCGAACAUGUUGUGGACGCAAAAAAAAAAAAA